rnacentral:lncRNA from 1 species
UUCUACUUUAGAUCAAAAUUAUUUAAUAUACAAUAUAUAAAAAUGGAAACUAAGAUUAGUAAAAAAGAAUCAAAAUCGAUCAGAUUCAUUUAAUUAUUAUCAAAAAGAAAGAAAAAAAAAAAAAAAAAAAAAAAAAAAAAAAAAAAAAAAAAAAACAUAGCUUUCGAACCCGGGCGCAUGAGAAAAAAUAGAAGAGCACAAGCCACUGGACCUAAGAGAACCUUUAGAGUUUAACGCCCCUAGAAAAUACAUAUUUUUGGCGCCUAAAACUCUGGUUUUACGGGCUUUAGACAAGGACCAGGCCUGCUGACACGGAGCGGUGGACGCAGAGACACCGGAGAAAAGAGGAGACCCCAUCACAUCCUAAGACGACACUGCCAAUACAGAACAGUGAACUCGAACCCUAGCUACCCGUAACAGCCCGUAGCCCACCACCACAUGGCAAGACAGUGGUUUCACCGUCGAUUUAGCACUCUCCAACCGGAGGAGAGCUGGUUUCGUCUCUGUAACUGAGCAAGAUGCAGUAUCUUGGAAGCGGCUGCUACUCGAAAAACUAAGAAAGAAAUUUUAUGUAGGACUGGCAAAUAAGAACGGUGUGAUAUACAUGUAGGUAUUAUUAAAUACUAUAUAUUUUCCAAAAAUAUAUACUUUUUCCGUUCCAUUAAGAUAUAUGUUUUAGAAAAAAAAAGGUUUCAUAAAAAUAGAUUUUUUGUGUUUUCUAUGAAUAAUUUGUGAACUUAAAAAAAAAUACUUUACUUUAUUGAAUUACUAUUAUUAAAAUUUAUUGAAAAUAAAAAAUUGCAUAAAACGAUGCAUUUAUUAUAGUUAUGUUUUCUGGUAAAAAUAUCUAGUUUUGAUAUUUUUUUUAAUAUAUGUGAAAAUACCAAAAAAUUAUAUUCGUAGAAUGGAGGAAAUAGUACUUUAAAAAAUCCAGUUUAUACUGCAAAACUGAAUCCAUAAUUUUAAAUAGUUUUGAAACAAACCUUAAUGACAUACUC